rnacentral:rRNA from 1 species
GACGAACGCUGGCGGCGUGCUUAACACAUGCAAGUCGAACGGAAAGGCCCUGCUUUUGUGGGGUGCUCGAGUGGCGAACGGGUGAGUAACACGUGAGUAACCUGCUCUUGACUUUGGGAUAACUUCAGGAAACUGGGGCUAAUACCGGAUAGGAGCUCCUGCUGCAUGGUGGGGGUUGGAAAGUUUCGGCGGUUGGGGAUGGACUCGCGGCUUAUCAGCUUGUUGGUGGGGUAGUGGCUUACCAAGGCUUUGACGGGUAGCCGUCCUGGGAGGGUGACCGGCGACAUUGGGACUGAGAGACGGCGCAGACUCCUACGGGAGGCAGCAGUGGGGAAUAUUGCACAAUGGGCGGAAGCCUGAUGCAGCAACGCCGCGGGCGGGAUGACGGCCUUCGGGUUGUAAACCGAUUUCGCCUGUGACGAAGCGUGAGUGACGGUAAUGGGUAAAGAAGCACCGGCUAACUACGUG